ensembl:lncRNA
CUUGAGCUUCUCUGGCUGCCUCUAGCAUCGAAGUCAUGGAAGUAAGAGUGUUGGGAAUGAAGUUAUCUUGCCAGUGCUGUGCCAGGGUGGAGCUUGGACACCUGCACAUAGCUAGAAUGCUGAGAUUAAAGGCUUGUGCCCCACCUUGAUGGAGAGUGAGCUUUAAUGGAAAACUUGGGCAUCUGAAGAAACAGCUCCACAUCUGAAGUAAGAGUAGGGCCAAAUGACUUAGGUCAUGGUGAAUUUUAAUAAAGACAAGACUGAUUUUAAAAACUACCUCCUGCCGGGAACAGUGGGGAGAGAAGUUAACCAUUACAAGAUAACAAUUCUGCAGCCAAUGAUUAUCACUGAUACAGAAGUUAUUGGUUAACUGAGUCCAACUUCUAGCAUUAAUGGGAAGGAUGGCCUUCAAAAGCUAUGUUGCACUGUGCCAUUCAGAGCCUGGGAAUUCUCCAGCAGCAGCAGACUAGCAUGUGAAGAGGCAUUACAAAGGCC